AGUCAGUUUAACAGUUUUCGCGAGUAGAAAUAAGCGUUCCCAAUAAAAAUAAAUCAACCAUCUGCUAUCUAUAUCGUCGGUGUUUCGCUCUUUCUCAAGUUUCUUUGUAAUUAUUGUGAGCGCUUAGACGUAUACACUCUCAAAUGUUGGAAUAUUUUGUUCUUGAAGUGUUACAAUAUAGCCAAUUCAUAAUAGAAAUGGGUAAAAGUCGAUUUCAAUUGAAAUGGCUGAAAAAUUUUAGUUGGGUACAGAAAUCAAGUGAUAUUAGAAAGGCGCAUUGCCGAGUUUGUAUGAAAAAUAUUGAAAUCGGUAGUAUGGGAGAGAGCGCCCUGAAGUCACGAAAAAGUUGAAAGUCACAAAGAAAAUUUUAAAAAACAACAGAAACAGGGAUCAUGUAAUUUGUUUUUUGUUAAACAAGAAGGGAUUUUUAUUGAGGCUAAAAAGACUAAUUCUGACUCAAAUAACAAUGUAAUAAAUGAUAACGAGGUUGCCUCUAUGUCAAAGCCUAAAGAAGACUUUUCCAGUGGUUUGUCUUUGUGACUGAAAGUAUAAUAUAAUAAGGAAUGGUUCCAAAAAUAAGAAAAAAGAAAUUGAAGAACUUGAAGUGCAGAGGAUCACCCGGAAAGUCUUAAAAAACUUGCGGGCAACUUCAAGGAGUUUUUAAAUACUUGUCUGGCCGAGGAGGCAGAUGAGGAUGUGGAGCAAUGUGUUUCAGAAUACAUAAAGGGUCUGUCCCAGACUGUCUCAAGUAUUGGAGAGCCAAGGCUUUCUUUGGAGGUAAAAGCUAAAAGUGCAGAUAAUGAUGAGGUAACUCUAUACAGUAAUAUUUCCGAAACUUUGGAAUGUUUUCGUUUUAAAUAUCAUUACGUAAGCGAGUUCUUUAAUGGAAUAUAUAAUGGGAGUAUAAUGUAGGAUCCAUUUUUUA